rnacentral:sRNA from 1 species
CCUUAUCGUUUAGUAAGAUCAAAUUUCUAAAUGAUGUUUCGUUCCAGUUGAACAUUCUUGGAGGCUUAUCUCUUCCCUGGCCAGAUGCCUGAUCAGAUGAGAAGCCCGCCAUGAUACUGUCACAGUGCCUAGAAUGGGCUCUUUAUCCAGUAGACACCACUGUACUUUUUGAUACGAGGGCAGUCUUAACUUGUGUUAAGGCCUGUGUGUAGCAUUGAAGAGAGGAGUUGCUUAAACCAAUGGGACUAAAACCUGAUGGGACAAUAACGCCUUUGGAGGAAGCACUCAACCAGUACUCUGUCAUCGAAGAGACCAGCUCUGACACAGACUAAAAGCAUCACCUGCUCAACUCUCAAUAUUGCUUUAUCAGCAUCUUUUCUCUGUAGCUCCAGGGGAAUCUUUUCUCUAAAACAUUUAUGCCCUUGCUUUGGCUAGAAACACAUUAACUGGUUUACUCAUUGAGAAUCCAGCAUAUUUAAGAGGUGACCCUGUGUUUUUUGUGAUAUUGAGGCAUUCAUACAGAGCUGCAGUUAGACGGGGUUACGGGGGCUAAAAGCAGAAAAAAA